rnacentral:rRNA from 1 species
GAUUGUCCUUUGGACAAUGGUAGGAGAGCGUUCUAAGGGCGUUGAAGCAUGAUCGUAAGGACAUGUGGAGCGCUUAGAAGUGAGAAUGCCGGUGUGAGUAGCGAAAGACGGGUGAGAAUCCCGUCCACCGAUUGACUAAGGUUUCCAGAGGAAGGCUCGUCCGCUCUGGGUUAGUCGGGUCCUAAGCUGAGGCCGACAGGCGUAGGCGAUGGAUAACAGGUUGAUAUUCCUGUACCACCUAUAAUCGUUUUAAUCGAUGGGGGGACGCAGUAGGAUAGGCGAAGCGUGCGAUUGGAUUGCACGUCUAAGCAGUAAGGCUGAGUAUUAGGCAAAUCCGGUACUCAUUAAGGCUGAGCUGUGAUGGGGAGAAGACAUUGUGUCUUCGAGUCGUUGAUUUCACACUGCCGAGAAAAGCCUCUAGAUAGAAAAUAGGUGCCCGUACCGCAAACCGACACAGGUAGUCAAGAUGAGAAUUCUAAGGUGAGCGAGCGAACUCUCGUUAAGGAACUCGGCAAAAUGACCCCGUAACUUCGGGAGAAGGGGUGCUCUUUAGGGUUAACGCCCAGAAGAGCCGCAGUGAAUAGGCCCAAGCGACUGUUUAUCAAAAACACAGGUCUCUGCUAAACCGUAAGGUGAUGUAUAGGGGCUGACGCCUGCCCGGUGCUGGAAGGUUAAGAGGAGUGGUUAGCUUCUGCGAAGCUACGAAUCGAAGCCCCAGUAAACGGCGGCCGUAACUAUAACGGUCCUAAGGUAGCGAAAUUCCUUGUCGGGUAAGUUCCGACCCGCACGAAAGGCGUAACGAUUUGGGCACUGUCUCAACGAGAGACUCGGUGAAAUCAUAGUACCUGUGAAGAUGCAGGUUACCCGCGACAGGACGGAAAGACCCCGUGGAGCUUUACUGUAGCCUGAUAUUGAAAUUCGGCACAGCUUGUACAGGAUAGGUAGGAGCCUUUGAAACGUGAGCGCUAGCUUACGUGGAGGCGCUGGUGGGAUACUACCCUAGCUGUGUUGGCUUUCUAACCCGCACCACUUAUCGUGGUGGGAGACAGUGUCAGGCGGGCAGUUUGACUGGGGCGGUCGCCUCCUAAAAGGUAACGGAGGCGCUCAAAGGUUCCCUCAGAAUGGUUGGAAAUCAUUCAUAGAGUGUAAAGGCAUAAGGGAGCUUGACUGCGAGACCUACAAGUCGAGCAGGGUCGAAAGACGGACUUAGUGAUCCGGUGGUUCCGCAUGGAAGGGCCAUCGCUCAACGGAUAAAAGCUACCCCGGGGAUAACAGGCUUAUCUCCCCCAAGAGUUCACAUCGACGGGGAGGUUUGGCACCUCGAUGUCGGCUCAUCGCAUCCUGGGGCUGUAGUCGGUCCCAAGGGUUGGGCUGUUCGCCCAUUAAAGCGGUACGCGAGCUGGGUUCAGAACGUCGUGAGACAGUUCGGUCCCUAUCCGUCGUGGGCGUAGGAAAUUUGAGAGGAGCUGUCCUUAGUACGAGAGGACCGGGAUGGACAUACCUCUGGUGUACCAGUUGUCGUGCCAACGGCAUAGCUGGGUAGCUAUGUGUGGACGGGAUAAGUGCUGAAAGCAUCUAAGCAUGAAGCCCCCCUCAAGAUGAGAUUUCCCAACUUCGGUUAUAAGAUCCCUCAAAGAUGAUGAGGUUAAUAGGUUCGAGGUGGAAGCAUGGUGACAUGUGGAGCUGACGAAUACUAAUCGAUCGAAGACUUAAUCAA